UCUCCGUCUGUGCAUUUUGGUUUCCUUUUCCAUUCACAAAGCCGUGGGUGGGGGAUUUCCAGCCGGGCUGCCAGCUGCUGCCGGGCCUCAGGAGGGCACCUGGGGACCCACCUCUGCGACGUGCCAGCUUCCGCCCCAGGAAGCCCCUUCUUCCACCUCUUGGGUGGAAACAUAUUGUGCCCUUGCUGAGCCAGCAACGCCAAGCACUGACAUUCCAUUUUCCAGAACGGAAAGCUGAGGCUCAGAAAGGCCAAGCUCUCAACCCAAAGUCGCCUAUCAAGGACACAAGAGCCAAGAUCUGAACCUAAACCCGCCCACCUGCCCUUCUCCCUGGCUACUUGGCUUGCAGCCCCGACUACGGGUGACAGCCUCACCCUCGUCCCAACACCCCAUUCCUCAAACAAACACAGAAGGCCCACUUAACAGAAGCUGCUCAGGUCAGGAUCUCACAGUUCCUCAGAUUGAGCCCCACGCCAGGAUCUGCGCUGAUGUGUGGAGCCUGCUUGGGAUGCUCUCUCAGAAUAAACCGACACCAACAUCAUCAUCAUCAUCAUCAUCACCACCACGAUCACUGUCACCAUGACAACCCCAGCAGCAGCUAAGCUCUGCUCAGUGACGACGCUGUGCUGGGUGCAGGGGAGCGUGGGGCAGCCGGACACCCAGUGAGCCCCUCUCAGCUCCCCACAGCCCAACCCUGGACAUGUCCGAGGAGGGGACGGUGCCACAGACGAGUGGACACGGACACCAGCCCUGAAGAGCACGGGGAGCCCCAAGGCGGCUCCUCCAGCCCACUCCCCCUGCUGGGCUAGUCCCAACAAGUGUCUCGGCCCCUCUGGGCUCAAGUCCUCUAGGUGCUCCCACUGCUCACAGUCUGGAACGCCAAGUCCUCACUGCAGCCACACGCCUGCCACCUAAUCCAGCCCCAGCACCUUCCCAACCUUCUCUCUGCUUGUUCACUCUACUCCAGACCUUGGCCAUUUGGGUGUUCCUCAAAGUCUCCGGGUUUAUGGCCACCCCAGGGGCUUUGCACUUGCCACUUCGUUGACCUGGGACUCCUGCACCCAGAUCUUCCAGGACUGGCGCCUUUUCUCACUCAAAUGUCCCCUCCUCUAAGGGGCCUUCGAUGACCACCCCCAUGUGGCGGCAGUCCUGUCUCCUUCUGCGGGCCGGUGCGUAGCAGGGAGCGCCCCCCGCAACACCUGCAAGGAUGCCACUGAAACCAGAGAAAGCUGUGACUUCUCGACGCACCUUCGGAGGCGGGAAAUAGCUGGUAUCUCUCCCAGCUACGCUCCAGCCCUCCCCGCCCCCCACAGCAGUCUGGCUGUGGCCCCCACUUACACCCCCAUGAGCAAGGAGCCCCCUCCCUCUGCAGCCCUCACCAGGCCCCUGCUUGCAGAUGAACAGACUGAGUGGGGAAGAGAUCUGCCAGGGCCACACAGCCGGGCAGAGGCAGAGGCGAAGCUGACCGGUGAGCCCCUGACAGCUGGCCUCAGCUUCUGGCUGACACGGACGACAGGUGCUGGGCUGCGGCGGCAGCGCCUUCUCCAGGCUGGCGCUGUGCCCUCCUAGUGACAGAGCCCGGGUGCGAGUCCAGGCCAAGCCCUGAGCCACCCCACCGGUUGCCAAACCUUCCCACUUCCUUCUCCUUCUGUUAGAGCUGCUCCUAGAAAAGGUUCCAGGGCCAGAGGUCAAGGCUACGCACCUGGCAGCCAUACUCAGUCAAGACUUAGAGUCUAAGGAUCCUCAGUCCAGAGACGAACUGCCCCAAGUCAUCCAGGGAACAUUCAGGAAGAGUCCCCAGACUGUUCCAAUACAACGGGAAGAUGGCGCAAGCAGAAGAUUGUCACCUGCUUUGCGGAGGGGCUGGGAGAGGCCCAGGUCCCGGGAUGACAUUCAGGUCUCAGAGCGACCACCAAGCCGAGACAGAGCCCCAAGGCCCAGCAGCCCCCAGGCCUUGACCUCACCAGGGUCCGGACACCACCCUGGGCCCUAUGGACUGUGAGGCUGGACAGGGCCUUCCAGUUGGACAUGGAGAAUCCAGGCCAGUGCUGGAAAUAAAUCUGUGUUCUCAGCCCUGAAGUCCUUCCCGUAACAACCAUAAGGGACACUGAGUGCCCCGUGGGCCAGGGGCUACUCAGUCAACUGUGCCAGAAGGCGGGAACUAUGAGUGGGGCCAUUGUACAGAGGAGGAAACUGAGGCUCGGAGAGGUGACAUCACUUGCCUAGGGCCCCUGAGCCGGUUUCCCAAGAUGGUUUAUUUUAAGCAGAUGUCUCUCAGGGGCACCUGGGUGGCUCAGUCAGCUGAGCGUCCAACUCUUGAUUUCUGCUCACGUCAUGACCUCACGGU